UCUCGUGAGGCCUGAUCCAAAGCCCAUUGACGUCAGUGGAAGUCUUUCCAUUGACUUCAGUGGAUUUUGGAUUAAGCCCUUGGGGU
rnacentral:pre_miRNA from 1 species